rnacentral:rRNA from 1 species
UACAGAGGUCUCAAGCGUUGUUCGGAAUUACUGGGCGUAAAGGGUGCGCAGGCCGCGCGGGCAGUCAAUUGUGUAAUUCAGGGGCUCAACCCCUGGACUGCGCUUGAUACUUCCGUGCUAGAGCUUUGGAGAGGAGUCUGGAAUUCUCGGUGUAGCAGUGAAAUGCGUGGAUAUCGAGAAGAACACUUAGGGCGAAGGCAAGACUCUGGACAAAAUGCUGACGCUCAUGCACGAAGGCUAGGGUAGCGAACGGG